rnacentral:lncRNA from 1 species
UCGCGCGCGUUUAAGCUCCGAGGAAAAGCUCCCGUCGAAAGCUCCGCUAAAAAACCACCUUCGUUGGCGAAGUGUUGCCUUCGAUAAAUUUAUUUAUUUAAAUAAUUCGGUUUUUAAUUAUUGACUUUGAAGAGUGUUCUUUUGAAAAUUGUUCACGUCCCGAAGACAAGACCCGGUUCGGAUCGAAGGUCCAUGUGACUGUUGAAUUCGAAGUGACGUUGCCAGAAUGCGGGUAACCAAGAAGAUCACCGAGUCCUUCUGGUUGAUUUUCCUGCUGGCGGUUUUCCCACGUCAAUUUCAGGCGUUUGAUAUACAUUUCAUUCAUUAUGGUUCUAUGUACCAAGGCCAAUAGCGUACAAAACGGUCUAUGUGUCUAAAAAGGAGACAGAAAGGUAUUGAAAGUAUUAGAAAAGAAAGAAAAAGCUGCAGAAUUAGUGGCUUGCAACAUACAAAUUAUAAAAAUUUCCACGUACCUGUUAAAAAUCCACCUGAACAAGAGGUAACAUGUUCUUGUAAAUAUUCCUGCAAUUCUUUAACAUUCAACCCGAGAAACUUAAAAAACAAAAAUUAUUCCAACAGUAUUAUGAAGCAGCAAAUCACGAUAAGCAGAGUGCUUUUCUUUUGGGGUUGAUUCAAGUUAUAAACAUAACUCGCAGGAGACAUGACACAUAUGAUACACCAGAGGAAAGUCCUCGCCAAUGUACGAUUGCUUACAUGGUUCCUAAUGGUAGUGGAGUACAGGUUUGCUGAAAAACGUAUUCCAAUAUAUUUACACUAAGCUACAAGAGAGUACUUGUGGAAAAAAAGAAAUCAGGAGCAACUACUUACACAGAUGAACGUGGUAAAAAAACAAAAGGAAAAAAGUAUUACUAGAAAUGCGCCAGCAAAUCAGGAAUCAUAUCCAGAGUUUUCCUCACAAGGAAAAUCAUUACAGCCGGCGCAAAUCGAUAAAAGCAUUCCUGAGUCCAGAUUUAAAUCUCAAUCGCAUGUUUUUGGCGUACAAAGAAAAAAUCCAAAUUCAGUAGUUACUUAUAAGUAUCACUCACUAGUGUUCAAAAAAAACUUCCCAAAUCUCAGAUGCGGACGGUCUAGGUCAGAUACAUGUUCAAAGUUCAUUUUUAUCAAAAUAAGACCAAAUCUAUUCCUUCUAUCCUUAUUUGAUCAACCUAGAGAGGGAAACAAGAGGCGCAAAAACUGGAACUGUACCAUCGCAAGGCGGUAAAGCCAAGAUUCACAAUCAAUACCGAUAUCGCAAACUCUCAAAAUAUUGAUCGUGAAGGUAAUACUAUUUCAAUUGAUUAAAAGAACUUGUUUCAAAAGAUCUUUUCAUUUCGACUCAUUCAGAUAUGAACGAUCAAAAACUAAUUAUACAUUCGAAUAUGUUUUACAGUCAGCAGUUGUCCUGUUUAUGUGCACAUGGGAUAAAUCUAUUACUGGGAGGUAUGGACAUCCAAUCCCAUCCAAAUUUUCCUAAAAGAAAAAAACUGGUUAUAUUGAGUGAUAACUGUAUUGGGCAAAACAAGAAUGAGAUUAUUUUAAUGUUGCUCAUUUAACUUGAUUCUAAAGGUAUCUACGAAAAAGUCGAGCAAAAGUGUCUGAUCGGUGGCCAUUCAUAUCUCACUUGUGACAGAGAUUUUGCCUAAAUAGAAAAAUGAUAUAGGAAACAUGAUAGCAGAGGCACGCCAUCAGAGACCUUUUAAUGUAGUCUACAUUCAAAGAUCUCAUAGAAAGAACAGAAUUGCAGUAAAAGAUUCCUUUUUAGACAUUCUUGCCCUUGGCACCUAGAACCUUCUAGCAGUCGUCAUGUUGAAGUUAAUGUUUUUCAUGUAAGCUUUUAUUUUUAUUUGUAACUAUGUAUGUAGUCUAUAUGAUC